GUGAGGAAUAUUGGUCAAUGGGCGAGAGCCUGAACCAGCCAAGUCGCGUGAAGGAAGAAGGAUCUAUGGUUCGUAAACUUCUUUUGCAGGGGAAUAAAGUGCAGGACGUGUCCUGUCUUGUAUGUACCCUGAGAAUAAGGAUCGGCUAACUUCGUGCCAGCAGCCGCGGUAAUACGGAGGAUCCGAGCGUUAUCCGGAUGUAUUGGGUUUAAAGGGUGCGUAGGUGGUUUGAUAAGUCAGCGGUGAAAGUUUGCAGCUUAACUGUAAAAAUGCCGUUGAAACUGUCGGACUUGAGUGUAAAUGAGGUAGGCGGAAUGCGUGGUGUAGCGGUGAAAUGCAUAGAUAUCACGCAGAACUCCGAUUGCGAAGGCAGCUUACUAAGCUACAACUGACACUGAAGCACGAAAGCGUGGGGAUCAAACAGGAUUAGAAACCCGUGUAGUCC
rnacentral:rRNA from 1 species